AUGGGUGAUGUUGAGAAAGGCAAGAAGAAAUCUGUUUAGAAGUGUGCCCAGUGUCACAUCGUGGAAAAGGGAGGCAAGCGCAAGGCUGGGCCUCAUCUCCAUGGUCUCUUUGGGUGGAUGACAGGUCAGGCUGUUGGAUUCUCUUACACUGACGCCAGUGAGAAUAAAGGCAUCAACUAGGGGAAGGAUACACUGACAGAGUAUUUGUAGAAUCCCAAGAAGUACAUCCCUGGAACAAAAAUGAUCUUUGCCAGCAUUAAGAAGAAGACAGAAAGGGCAGACUUGAUAGCUUAUCUCAAAAAAGCUACUAAUGAGUAAUUUGACCAUGGCCUUAUUUAUCACAAAACAAAUCUCUCAUGACUUUUUUAUGUCUUUAAUAGAUCUCAUACACCAGAAUUCAGAUCAUGAAUGACUGACAGAAUAUUUUGUUGGGCAGUCCUGAUUUAAAACUAAGACUGGCUUAUGGUUAAAUGAAUAUGUUUAGUUUUUGAAUUUUAAUAGUAAUUACAAUUCAGUAAAUGCUAUCACUGUUUAUCCCUUCUAAAGAUAUGAUUAGACUUCCUUAGUAAUGUUCAGUUUUUCACAAAGAUGGUGAGUGCCAUCUUCAAACUUACUGAAGAUUGGUUUCAUAUUUAGAUUAUGUAACUGAUUGUGUGAAUAUAUUUAAAUACUGAGGAAAUUCCUUCACUGUCUCAGAACCAAGCAAGAUUCACCUGUGCUUUGUGUUCAUUUGCCUCUCAAAGGCAAGGGUUGAAGAUAAACAAGGUAGCAAUGUCUACUUUAUAUUUUUGGCCUUAACUAUGCCAAUCUGAUUAGAAUUCCCUAUAUUUAAAAUGGGUUCCUUUUACUUAUUGAAAGGCAUUUUAGUGUGGUUUAUGUGUAAUAUCAAAGAUUACUUAAUACUUCUCACAUUUAUAAGUGAUCUAUAAGGUCAUAUGUUUUAAAAUAGUAGUGAGUUAAACUUCACUCUUGAAUUCCUUAUAAUCUAAGUCAAACUGAGUUAUAAUUUAGGAUUGUCUUUAAAUAGCCAUUCAGAAAUAUAAAAUUAUAGAACUACUGUGUAUUUGUGAUUGGGAAUGGUGCUUUUGCCAACUUAAAAGGAUUAAAGUAGAGGAGAUAUACACAUAUUUUAAAAUUAUAUGUGACCAUAAGACUUAAGAUAAUUAAAAAGAAAACC